UCCUUGGUGGUCCAGUGGCUAAGACUCUGCGCUCCCAGUGCAGGGAGCUGGGGUUCGAUCCCUGGUCAGGGAA
rfam:Ovis aries breed Texel chromosome 15, whole genome shotgun sequence.